CCGACCUUAGCUCAGUUGGAAGAGCGCAAGACUGUAAUUGGAUAAAAUGUACAUCUUGAUGUCGCCUGUUCGAGCCAGGCAGGUCGGA